ACUUUCCUCUUUGGCAUGACGGGGCAAAGAGGUGUUUCUCAAGCUGAGGAAAGGAUGCAGAGGAAGGGAACCGGGUGAGGAGGGGACUCGCCAACAGACGCAGCACAGCAAACAUUUUUCCUGGUCUGUGACAGGUACAGUUUGGGAGCGGAGGGAGCACAAAAGCAGGGGCCGAAAGGAAGCUGGCAGCCAGGAGGCCUCCAGGACUUGGGUCUAGCAUCCGCGAGUUAAACGGGGCGGGGACGGAGGAGCGGACCCUCUGGAUCCCCCGACCCUGGCUGAAAGGAGACAGGCUUCACCACGUGACCGCCCCCAACUCCAGCCCCCGCAGUCUGCGCGCCACCGGCUCCACGGGCUGACCCCCGCUCUCUACCCUGGCUCUCUCGGAGCUCGCCGGGCCCCGGCAGACCCAGGACCUGGCGCUCUCGCCACCCCGUUCCUCCCUGCUCCGAACUCCCAAUUCCGUGUGGUGAGCCCCAACUGUCCCGGGCUGUGUACAACUUAGAGGGCCACGGGGAUUCGGGCGGUCCCACCCUCGCGCACUCACCUGGGAAUCCGCGGAAGGCGAGGUGGAAAAAAGAAGAGAUGCUUGCGCCAGGGCUACAUCCGGGGCACCCGGCCGCCAUCACCCGGAAGAGGACUGCGGAAGGCGCCCGGGAAGCCCGGAAGUGGCUUCACUCGGGUUAGGGAACUAACUGGAAGAGCGGGCGGAAGUAUGCGAUAAGCGAGCGAAGACGCCUCCACCCUCUCUCCCGCCAGAAGUGACGUCAGUCACGUGGGAGGACAAUGGUGAGAAGAGGGAACCUAAGAAUUCCUGGACUCUGACUGGGCGUGAGAAAUGGCCGGAAGUAGCUUCGAGUCCGUCAUUCAAGCAGUAGAGGCUCUGGAGAAAAACUGGAGCGCAUCUGCUUAAAGGGCCGCCCAGGGUCAGGAUGGAGGGGCAAAGUCCGAGCAGGGUCAGUGGGUUGCUGCUCCGUUUUCCUGUCCUGGGUUCAAGUCACCCUUCCCCCAGGGCUAAGGGCUCAGCGCCCCUACCGUCUCGUUAGAAAUCCUGCCUUCCCAUUCCUAUGGUCCAGUGGUCAGCCCUCCUAGCCUGAGAGGUGCAGCCUUGCCUCUCCGAGGGGAAGCCUGACUCUCCCGAUGGCCAGCCUGGGGCCCCUGGACGGCUCUCCGGGCACUUUCUGAACACACCUCCCUUUAGGACCCAGGGGAAAUAAUUUGUCCCACGCCCAUACCCUGGGCGAGUUCCUGGUUUCUGAGGUGGGAGAGCCAUCACUGGAGAGGUGGCAUUGGCGCCAGUACUCAGGCCAGAAGCCCCUUGUGCCCUGCUCUCAGGUAGGCCUGGAAAAGGGCAACAGUGCCUCUCUGCAGCAUGAAGCCCCCCUGAGCAAACAGGGCCUAGCAACUCCUGCCCAGGUAGCGGAAUGUGGCCCAAGCAGAAGGGGGAAUUGGGGAGGUAGCGGGGAUCAGCCCCUGUGCUGGGACCCCUAGCUCUUGACACUCGGAGCCUGCAUCCCCCUAAGCCAAGACUGUGCGCAGGCAGCACGUGCUGAAGCCAGACGAGGACAGCAUGAGAGUUCCCCUACUCUUCCCCCAGGCAACUAGAUGGGCCACUUCUCUCUCCCUAGGGGUUUCCUCCCAUAUUGGAUCACGAUGAAAACUGCACAGAAAGUCCGUGCUCAGUUUCUUCCAUGGUUACAGAACACAGGCCCCAGACCAGGAAGGCAUUCUGCUAAAGAAGGGGACCCGAAACCUCAGCUACCAGCGCCGAUGGUUCAUCCUCCGAGGAAACCUCCUCUUCUACCUAGAACACUAGACCGACCAUGCACCCCUGAGCCUCAUCCUGUUAGAGAACUGCCAGGUGGAACCACACCUUAAGGCUGCAGAACCCUAUGCCUUUACCAUCCUGACCCCUGGGGUGGAGGGCACAGGUGGGCGGGCCUACAAGCUGGCUGCAGAAACCCAGGAAGAGCUGGAGACUUGGCUGUGGGCACUGGCUGGCGCGAGCUGGAGGCGGCUGGCUGGGCUGCUGUCCCCCCUCCCCCCCCACCAAAACCCAAUACUGGGAGCUGUGCCAGGCAACUGGCCAAGAACCCAUCUCAUCCCCAGAGGACAGUGGCUUUCUAGCCACUGUGAGUACCCCCUCCAGCUUCCAGGAGUUGCAUGAGCACUUUGGGAAGGAGAUCCGGGUGCUGCACGUGGUACAUAGAGAGCUCCAGGCAGCCAGUGACAAUGGAGACAGCAGAUCCCAGGCAAAGAUGGAGCAGGAGCUCAACCAGUGUCUGAUGAGUGACUGAGAGAUGGACCCAAAGCUAAGAGGUACCUACUUGCCAAGACAGCAGACUGCUUCAACAGAGACCCAGGUCCUGGCUCUGUCCCUCCCUCCCUCGUCCUUACCCCAUCCCCCCCUCAUCAAAUAACAAGGCAGAAAACAGGCCCAGGUACAACA
rnacentral:lncRNA from 1 species